GGCCAGGUAUGCACAUCUUGAACAUUCAGGAUCUGGAUUUUAUUAUCCUUCGGGGAGCCAGAAUGUAGUCAAAGAAGAGAAGGGAAACAGUGAAAAUGCAUGAGUUGCUCUGCCGCCCAGGAAUGUUCAACCAAAACUCUUCCAUUCCUGAAGCUGUGACUGCUUUGCACUGCUGUCAAGGCUUUCUCUGGCAAUUGAGAGCCUGGGACACUGCUGGAGAUGACAACAGAGCCACACACUGAAAAAAGGCAAGGAGAGCUGAAUAUCUCCUUAGCCAGACAGCAUCAUCUAUUCUGUGUGAAACAUCACAA